rnacentral:rRNA from 1 species
AUAUGGCGACAUAGAGCGGAACCCGAAAACCUAGUCUCAGUUCGGAUUGGAGUCUGCAACCCGACUCCAUGAAGCUGGAUUCGCUAGUAAUCGCGCAUCAGCCACGGCGCGGUGAAUACGUUCCCGGGCCUUGUACACACCGCCCGUCAAGCCAUGGAAGCCGGGAGUGCCUGAAGUGCGUGAGCGCAAGCAGCGCCCUAAGGUAAAACCGGUGACUGGGGCUAAGUCGUAACAAGGUAGC